AACAUGUCGGCUAGCCCCCUUCCUUUGCAA
rnacentral:tRNA from 1 species